rnacentral:lncRNA from 1 species
GUCCCUCACCAGUAGUCAAAGUCACCCACAUCCCGUCUCCAUCUCCUUGAACAGCCUACACCAGGAGAAGUAUGAAUGACCAUCUCUCUUCUGCCAUUAUCUCUUCAAACCACACUGGAUUUGUGAUUAUAAGGAGGAAAAUGGCUUUGAGGGACUGUCCGGGACCUAUCUGCAGCUCCUAGAGCUACCAGUGAGUCUGAGCAUGCAGGUCACCUAAUGUGAGACCCAAAGUCUGGGAAUCUGUCCUAGAGGCUGGCCCAGGAUGGCAACUUGUAGGUCCCAGGAGCAAAGCUGCACUAAAAGAGUUAAACCACAGUAGUGCCAAGCCUGACAUAGGACAGUGAAAUUAAUUUAAAACCAGCAAGUCUCUGGGUUGCUCUCUGCACUAACAAAGCCCCACGGAGCAUUCUCAGGGGUAGCACAAUUGGAUGAAAUAAUUAUGUGACAGUUCAUGAAAUUUUUUGACUUUAGAGGUCUAAACUGGCCCCAGAUUCUCUCUCAGGCUGCCCCAGACUCCUGCUGAUGGUGGUUUGGCAGAACACAAGGAACACAAGGGUUCUGUGAACUCUGCUCCCAGUUCUGUGGACUCUGCUCCCAGUUCACGUUUCUGUGACAGAGCCUGGAACACAAACUUUGCAAACCCCAAUCAGGAGCAAGGGAGAGGCCACAAACAGAGCUGUCCCCACAGUGCCUUUGCAGUCACUUUUCAAGCUAGCACUAACUGCAUUUUAAAGUAGUAAUAUUGGCUUUUGCAACUCACAAAAGCACUCGCUGGAGCCUUGCUCCUGCAAUUUGUUCCAGCGUUGUCUCAGAUCUUGCUGCCUGAUGCACUGGGGUAUCCUCAGUGCUGCACAGUGCAAGCAGCAGAAGACUUUCUAAUGAGCUUAAACAGAAAAGCUGCUGGCUUAUUCCCUUUGGAAAAGAGUUUGGGUCCUACCAGAUGCGGGCACUUUGCUGGAAAAGAUCCAUUACAAUGUUUUCUACUGCUUGUAUCUGAUGGAAAAUGCUUCUGUAACUAUGCCACAGAUGAUACAAGAGGAAACACGGUCUUCGCAGUGCAGACAGGACUUCUGGACCAGGUAAUGAUGCUGUAGGUGGUCCCAGAAGGUCACUGGUGGAAUGAUGAACCCUGGAUGUGGAGCAAACAUCUCCUGGCAAGGCCUAGUUGACAAGACUCCAAGAUUCCUAAGGAUUGCUACAAAACCUUAUUCUACUCCUUGCCAUCUUCUGCCUGAAUUC